GAUAAACGCUGGCGGCGUGCCUAAUACAUGCAAGUCGAGCGAACGGACGAGAAGCUUGCUUCUCUGAUGUUAGCGGCGGACGGGUGAGUAACACGUGGAUAACCUACCUAUAAGACUGGGAUAACUUCGGGAAACCGGAGCUAAUACCGGAUAAUAUUUUGAACCGCAUGGUUCAAAAGUGAAAGACGGUCUUGCUGUCACUUAUAGAUGGAUCCGCGCUGCAUUAGCUAGUUGGUAAGGUAACGGCUUACCAAGGCAACGAUGCAUAGCCGACCUGAGAGGGUGAUCGGCCACACUGGAACUGAGACACGGUCCAGACUCCUACGGGAGGCAGCAGUAGGGAAUCUUCCGCAAUGGGCGAAAGCCUGACGGAGCAACGCCGCGUGAGUGAUGAAGGUCUUCGGAUCGUAAAACUCUGUUAUUAGGGAAGAACAUAUGUGUAAGUAACUGUGCACAUCUUGACGGUACCUAAUCAGAAAGCCACGGCUAACUACGUGCCAGCAGCCGCGGUAAUACGUAGGUGGCAAGCGUUAUCCGGAAUUAUUGGGCGUAAAGCGCGCGUAGGCGGUUUUUUAAGUCUGAUGUGAAAGCCCACGGCUCAACCGUGGAGGGUCAUUGGAAACUGGAAAACUUGAGUGCAGAAGAGGAAAGUGGAAUUCCAUGUGUAGCGGUGAAAUGCGCAGAGAUAUGGAGGAACACCAGUGGCGAAGGCGACUUUCUGGUCUGUAACUGACGCUGAUGUGCGAAAGCGUGGGGAUCAAACAGGAUUAGAUACCCUGGUAGUCCACGCCGUAAACGAUGAGUGCUAAGUGUUAGGGGGUUUCCGCCCCUUAGUGCUGCAGCUAACGCAUUAAGCACUCCGCCUGGGGAGUACGACCGCAAGGUUGAAACUCAAAGGAAUUGACGGGGACCCGCACAAGCGGUGGAGCAUGUGGUUUAAUUCGAAGCAACGCGAAGAACCUUACCAAAUCUUGACAUCCUUUGACAACUCUAGAGAUAGAGCCUUCCCCUUCGGGGGACAAAGUGACAGGUGGUGCAUGGUUGUCGUCAGCUCGUGUCGUGAGAUGUUGGGUUAAGUCCCGCAACGAGCGCAACCCUUAAGCUUAGUUGCCAUCAUUAGGUUGGGCACUCUAAGUUGACUGCCGGUGACAAACCGGAGGAAGGUGGGGAUGACGUCAAAUCAUCAUGCCCCUUAUGAUUUGGGCUACACACGUGCUACAAUGGACAAUACAAAGGGCAGCGAAACCGCGAGGUCAAGCAAAUCCCAUAAAGUUGUUCUCAGUUCGGAUUGUAGUCUGCAACUCGACUACAUGAAGCUGGAAUCGCUAGUAAUCGUAGAUCAGCAUGCUACGGUGAAUACGUUCCCGGGUCU
rnacentral:rRNA from 1 species